GACGAUCGAACAAUACGUUCGCGCGCGCAUAAAAUUUUUCUUCCGGACGCGGUAAGAUCACUCCCAUUCGACCAAUGCCAAAAGUGGAAUAAGCUGUGAGAAAUCAACGUCCAUGGAAUCGAUGCUUUUCUAAUCGAGUAUACCGCUGAGGAUCAGCCAUGGACAUGCAUGUACGAGUUAUCUAUCUGGUUACAGAUAUUUUCAAUAAGUGAUGAAAUGAAUUUGUUCGACGCUUCGGCAAAAAUAACGCGAGAUAAUAAUGAUUAUUUUAAUUAUGUUUCACAAAUUAUACUGAAAAUAAUUCGAAUGCAUAUUUUCGUGCACGCGCGUAACGGACGGAAUAUUUUUAACGUAAUAUUUUACAUUGUUGGUCCCAUAAAUUGGUAUUUUCUCUACACUGUUCGUGAAAGCAAUAAUUCUUUGAAAUAAUAAAGCAAUAAAUAACAACGCCUUUCUUUCCUUCCCACAUUCGAUACUUACUCGCACAAUCAACUUUGUAACUAACUGACCGUUAAGCCGGUUAAUUCUACAGCAAUGAGAAUAUAAAUUAAUUCCCAGUGCACUCUGGAGAAUCUCUCGAUUUGUUGUUACACAGGAAUCAUCGGUAAGCGGCAGAUAAGAAUCUUGCCCCUUUGUAGUGCAUAUAAUAAAGUGCAACGAUAAAGCCGAUAACAUCCAGUUGUAGUAUAAUAAUACUAGCGCUGUUUCUCCCAGUAGAAACAAAAGAGAAUAACUAUUCAGGAAUCGUAAUGAAUCCAAUGGGAUUAUCCGAUAUUUCAUUCCCGUUCGAUUCGAAUCAACGACACAACGCUAGUUUUUAUACUAGUUUGCACGAACAAGAGUUUAAUCUAAUAUGUCAGACGUUACACCAUUUCUAUUCAAACGGUAAGAUUAUUUUUUUAUUUAUUGCGCAUUCUAAAUUUAUAAUUUCAGCAGGAAGCGACAUUAAUAAAAUUUUUCGCUCAAUAAAAAUACGAGUUUUACGGGGAGAUAGUUGUGUUUUCUAUAGAUAAUUAAGAUUUAUAUUUUCAUGUGCGUGUAACGUUUCAUGUAACGUGUUCGUGAACCAUAAACCACACUUUCCUCUUAUCCGUUUUAUUACACACAUAGAAACCGCAAAAAAGCAACGACGGUUUACCUUGCCUUUUUCUCGCGGCGUAUAGGGGAAAGGAAGACCGAGAGAGCGCGCGCUUGCAAUUUCGCUCUAUGUCUAUGUCGACGAACACAAAAGUGCGCGCGUCCCGAUGGCGCUCGUUUUCCGAUAUUCUUCCGCCGGUUUGC